rnacentral:rRNA from 1 species
GAACCUUACCAGGUCUUGACAUCCUCUGACAAUCCUAGAGAUAGGACGUCCCCUUCGGGGGCAGAGUGACAGGUGGUGCAUGGUUGUCGUCAGCUCGUGUCGUGAGAUGUUGGGUUAAGUCCCGCAACGAGCGCAACCCUUGAUCUUAGUUGCCAGCAUUCAGUUGGGCACUCUAAGGUGACUGCCGGUGACAAACCGGAGGAAGGUGGGGAUGACGUCAAAUCAUCAUGCCCCUUAUGACCUGGGCUACACACGUGCUACAAUGGACAGAACAAAGGGCAGCGAAACCGCGAGGUUAAGCCAAUCCCACAAAUCUGUUCUCAGUUCGGAUCGCAGUCUGCAACUCGACUGCGUGAAGCUGGAAUCGCUAGUAAUCGCGGAUCAGCAUGCCGCGGUGAAUACGUUCCCGGGCCUUGUACACACCGCCCGUCACACCACGAGAGUUUGUAACACCCGGAGGUCGGUGAGGUACCUUUCGGAGCCAGCCGCCCGGGCACGUAUGUAACACUUUCUG